rnacentral:rRNA from 1 species
CGCUGGCGGCGUGCCUAAUACAUGCAAGUCGAGCGAGCAGAACCAGCAGAUUUACUUCGGUAAUGACGCUGGGGACGCGAGCGGCGGAUGGGUGAGUAACACGUGGGGAACCUGCCCCAUAGUCUGGGAUACCACUUGGAAACAGGUGCUAAUACCGGAUAAUAAAGCAGAUCGCAUGAUCAGCUUAUAAAAGGCGGCGUAAGCUGUCGCUAUGGGAUGGCCCCGCGGUGCAUUAGCUAGUUGGUAAGGUAACGGCUUACCAAGGCAAUGAUGCAUAGCCGAGUUGAGAGACUGAACGGCCACAUUGGGACUGAGACACGGCCCAAACUCCUACGGGAGGCAGCAGUAGGGAAUCUUCCACAAUGGACGCAAGUCUGAUGGAGCAACGCCGCGUGAGUGAAGAAGGUUUUCGGAUCGUAAAGCUCUGUUGUUGGUGAAGAAGGAUAGAGGUAGUAACUGGCCUUUAUUUGACGGUAAUCAACCAGAAAGUCACGGCUAACUACGUGCCAGCAGCCGCGGUAAUACGUAGGUGGCAAGCGUUGUCCGGAUUUAUUGGGCGUAAAGCGAGCGCAGGCGGAAGAAUAAGUCUGAUGUGAAAGCCCUCGGCUUAACCGAGGAAUUGCAUCGGAAACUGUUUUUCUUGAGUGCAGAAGAGGAGAGUGGAACUCCAUGUGUAGCGGUGGAAUGCGUAGAUAUAUGGAAGAACACCAGUGGCGAAGGCGGCUCUCUGGUCUGCAACUGACGCUGAGGCUCGAAAGCAUGGGUAGCGAACAGGAUUAGAUACCCUGGUAGUCCAUGCCGUAAACGAUGAGUGCUAAGUGUUGGGAGGUUUCCGCCUCUCAGUGCUGCAGCUAACGCAUUAAGCACUCCGCCUGGGGAGUACGACCGCAAGGUUGAAACUCAAAGGAAUUGACGGGGGCCCGCACAAGCGGUGGAGCAUGUGGUUUAAUUCGAAGCAACGCGAAGAACCUUACCAGGUCUUGACAUCUAGUGCCAUCCUAAGAGAUUAGGAGUUCCCUUCGGGGACGCUAAGACAGGUGGUGCAUGGCUGUCGUCAGCUCGUGUCGUGAGAUGUUGGGUUAAGUCCCGCAACGAGCGCAACCCUUAUUAUUAGUUGCCAGCAUUAAGUUGGGCACUCUAAUGAGACUGCCGGUGACAAACCGGAGGAAGGUGGGGAUGACGUCAAGUCAUCAUGCCCCUUAUGACCUGGGCUACACACGUGCUACAAUGGGCAGUACAACGAGAAGCGAGCCUGCGAAGGCAAGCGAAUCUCUGAAAGCUGUUCUCAGUUCGGACUGCAGUCUGCAACUCGACUGCACGAAGCUGGAAUCGCUAGUAAUCGCGGAUCAGAACGCCGCGGUGAAUACGUUCCCGGGCCUUGUACACACCGCCCGUCACACCAUGGAAGUCUGCAAUGCCCAAAGCCGGUGGCCUAACCUUCGGGAAGGAACCGUCUAAGGCAGGGCAGA